UACGGAGGGUGCAAGCGUUAUCCAGAUUCACUGGGUUUAAAGGGUGCGUAGGUGGGCAGGUAAGUCAGUGGUGAAAUCUCCGGGCUUAACCCGGAAACUGCCGUUGAUACUAUUUGUCUUGAAUAUAGUGGAGGUGAGCGGAAUAUGUCAUGUAGCGGUGAAAUGCUUAGAUAUGACAUAGAACAUCGAUUGCGAAGGCAGCUCGCUACACUAUUAUUGACACUGAGGCACGAAAGCGUGGGGAUCAAACAGG
rnacentral:rRNA from 1 species